rnacentral:rRNA from 1 species
ACUCAAAGGAAUUGACGGGAGCCCGCACAAGCGGUGGAGCAUGUGGUUUAAUUCGACGAUAAGCGAGGAACCUUACCGGGUCUAGAAAUUCAGCUGCACGCCUCUGGAAACAGAGGAAGCCUUCGAGGGUGCUGAACAGGUGCUGCAUGGCUGUCGUCAGCUCGUGGCGUGAGCUGUUGGGUUAAGUCCUCUAACGAGCGCAACCCCUGUCGAGUGUUACAUUAUUCGCUCGAGACUGCCGGCGAUAAGCCGGAGGAAGGAAGGGAUGACGUCAAGUCAGCAUGGUCCUAGACGACCCGGGCUACACACGUGCUACAAUGGGGUGCAACAAUGGGUCGCCAAAGCGCAAGCUGGAGCCAAUCCCACCAAACCACCCCCCAGUUCGGAUUGGAGGCUGCAACUCGCCUCCAUGAAGCCGGAAUCGCUAGUAACCGCGCAUCAGCUAUGGUGCGGUGAAUACGUUCUCGGGCUUUGUACACACCGCCCGU